rnacentral:tRNA from 1 species
GAUUCUGUAGCUCAGCUAGUAUAGCAAUGCAUUUUUAAUGUAUGAGUCCUGGGCGGCCGCCGCUGCGGUUCGAAUCCCAGCGGAAUCA